CACCCACCAGUAGCUAUUGCAACAGUUCAUGUGUGAGGCGAUGAGGGUCUGCACCAGAGUGGUGACAGUGUCAGAGGAGAGAAAGGAACAUAUUCAAGAGACACUGCAAAGGUAAAAUGAACAGGCCUUGGCCACAGCUUGGAUAUAGGAGGCUGUGAGGAUAGUGAGGAGUCCAGGACGAUUCCUAGGUUACAAGCCGGAGAGAUUGGGAAGAUGGUGUUACCCUCUGCAGUAACAGAGGAGCAAUCAUCUGAAAAGGGGACCACAGUCUUCACCAGACUGCCAAGGAGGAACAUGUUGGAAAACAAAAGUUAAGACCCCUGAGAUAAGCAGCCACGGGGUUCUAGCUGCAUUCUCCAGGAAUGAUAUGAAAUCAUAUGUUUCCCCUUGGAUUGAGUUCAGGUCUGAGACUUCCAACAUUUGCUAUGCACUUCUCUUCCAUUAUGAUGUCUGUGAAAGCAUUCCAUGCUCCACUGAUGUCAGGAAGCUUUCAUCCACACGUCUUUCUUCUCGAAACAGGGGAAAGGCCACAUGGUCAAGUACAAUCAUCACUGGAAACUCUCCCUCAGGAUGCAGCGACUGGGGACUUUUCUGGGCCUGCUUUGUGGAGGUGAUCUUCCAUUGCUGUUUGACACAUCUCUGAUGGCUCUUCGGGAGGAAGAGGGAGAAUGAAGGUUGUUAUACACACAACAACAAAAAAUAAGAAUGAAAAUCUGUUUCAAGUGAAUGCCCUUUCUGGGUGUUUCGCUCGACCAGCAAGGACCCUACAGGGCAUCUAGGAAAAAAGAUCAGCUAUUCUACUGAGGACCAGAGAGUUGAACAAUCUGUUGGAGGUUCCGAGUGGUGGAAGCAUGAUCUAAACCCAUAUUUUCAGACUCCAAAUCCAGCUUGCUUUCUACUAUACCACAAAGACCUAGAUUUAAAUCCUGACACUGACACAUAGCCUUUGUGUCAUCCUGGGUAAGUUGUCUUUCCAUUCUGGGACUCAUCUUCCUCCACUAUAACAUGUGUGCGUGAGUGUGUGUGUAUGUGCGCAUACCUCCUAUGAGCCAGGCACUGUAUU